ACCCGUGUCCCCUGCAUCGGCAGGCGGACUCUCAACCACUGCGCCACCAGGGAAGCCCCACACUUUCAUUUUUAACUUAAAUUAGUCCCUGAGAUAUAGCACUGUUUACAGUUUCCCACCCAGGUUCUGGAAACACAGUCAAGAUAUCUGAUUGUUUAUUGAAAUCAUUUACGAAUAGAGCCUGGAAAACUUUCAGUAAUGUUCCUAGGACCUCUUCAUCUGAGAUAACUUUGUCUUUGGAUUCCUCUGGAACAUAUCGGAGGGUCCUGAAAAUGGGAAAAGUUUCUAUUCACUACCCUCAACUGAUAAAAGCCAGACUGUCUUGAUGUCUUCUGGGUUACUGGCCUGUAUGAAGAUUAUUCUCAUGUGUUUGAAGGGCAUAAAACUACGAAGUUCAGAAAAGAGUUUUUUAGGUUUAGUUCUAGUUACCUGAAUCCCAACAAUACCUACACAAGUCAACAACAGCUAAUGCUUAUGAAAGGCCCAUUACAUACCAAAUUCUGUUGGGUCCUUACAUUCAUUACCCCAUUUUUGCAGACAAGGAAACUCAAGCUUGAAGAUGUUAGGGAACUUGCCCAUGGUCCGAAAGCGGGUAAAUGGGAGAGCCAGAAGCGGAAACAGGGCUCGUUUCCCACUACACCCAAAGCCAUUAUGUGAAUGUUAUUACAUAAUGAGAAUCCUCAUAUUGCAAUGGCUCUUUUCACACGCGUGUAGUUUCAAAGACAAAUCUAAGUUAACAUUAUAUAUUUUGUCACAUUCUCUCCCAGGAGUAAUUACUUUUUUAUUUUUAAUUUAAUUUUAUGUAUUUUUUUAUACAGCAGGUUAUUAUCUAUUUUAUACAUACUAGUGUAUAUAUGUCAAUCCCAAUCUCCCAAUUCAUCACACCACCACAGUAAUUACUUCUUUAAUGAUCACUUUUUAUUUCCGUAAAUAGUUUUUAAUUAUUAUUUUUACUUCUUGUUUUACUUGAACCAAUUUCCGCCUCACAAUUCUAGUAAUGAUGCAGCUGAAUUCACGUUUCCGUAGUAUGAAACUCUGGGAAAGCUCUUUGGUUACUAACCAGCCUUCAAUGGAGCUCGUUUGCCUAUUUAAGUGAGCAUUACGUUGACUUCUUCCAGACCACAAGCAGGCCACUUACUAAAGCCGGCAAUAACAAUGAUCCUACGGCCACCCACUCAGCUAGAUCCCCUUCUUCAAGCGCUGAAUCCGUAUUCUAAAUCCAAUAUUCCGACAUGCUUUUAUUGGUUUUUUGCUCGUUUUUAUACAUCAGCUACUCCAAGCUGUUAUCCUCACAGCCGAGCUGCGCUGUUUUCUCCAUACCAACUACGGAGCUGUGAAAAUAAACCACGGUUUGGCUUUUCUAAGGAACUUCAAGCUUCUAACUGCCUUGGCGGAGAGAAGUCCACGCACCCUCAUGUUGUACAAGUUCUUUUCUUUUUCAAAAGUUCCUAUUUUUCCCCCAAACCCAGGCACCCCAGCCCCUGCAGAAGCAAAAGCGAGAACUCCAGCCAAAGCCCGCGGGCGAUCGGGUCCUAGCGUACCUCGCCGCGCCAGGGACGACGGGAAAUAGGCCUUAGGCCCCGCCCACCUAAAAGCCCCGCGCCCUCUUCAGGCCCCCAGCCCAACUCGGACUCCAUCGGACUCCAUCAGCCUCCGCCUCGCCCACCUCGGGCGCUGCGCACCUCGGGCCCCGCCCACUCAGGUCCCUGGGUCGUCUUAGGCUCCGCCUGCUUGAGGCGUCGCCCUCCGGAAGCUCCGCCCACCUCGGCCCUCUAACCCAAGUCCCAGCGGUCUAGAUGGCGUCGGUGGGUUAGAGGAAAACGGCCCUGGUCGAGCCGCCCAGCCCUCUCACCUCGGGUUGUGGCUUAGGUUCAGCGCGAUCCAGGGUACGAAGCGGUACUUGUAACGACGCCAUCGCUGCCAGAGGCCGCGCAGCAGGCGGCCCGGCAUGGCUGUCCUGUGGUUCCGUGAAGAGGACGGCACUGGGGAGGCGGGUUUUCUCGGGCCCGCCCCGACCCGAGGAGGAGCAGAUGCCGCGCCGUCCCUCCCCUUCGCGGUCUCAACACUCAGUGCCGCGCUCGGCGGUGCCGGUACCUCCUGGCCUGCUGUCGCCGUGUCUCCGUGCCUCUGCUUUAUUGACCCCAGCUCGCUGAAACAGAGAGUGAAUUAUAAUGACACACUAUCAAAUGUUGCACCAUCCUUGGAUUCCUGAGAUAACCCUACUCAAUUGGUGAUCAUGUGAGAAACAACUACUGAGCAGAAAUACGAAGGAUGAAAGUAGAAAACAGUAACACACAACCACAAGGUACAAUCUAAGACUAAAACUCUUGGGUAGGCCAAGUGAGUUCCCUGGUACAGCCUGAAUUGCAGAAUGAUUGAAAUUGCCUUAUUUCAUUUGCGAAAUGGAGUAUAAUCACUGUGUUGUAAAGUAUGCCUGACAAAUAGUAGCUGUUGAAUAAAUCUUUAUUCCUAUUCCCAA